GUUCAUAAUAGCAUCAUUUAUAAGAGAAUUACAAUUAGAAUACUGCAGAAAAAUAUUACAGAAGGCACCUCAAUAAAGAAAGUUACACAGGGCGUCCACGGAAGGAAAGAAGAGGGAGGACUCAAAAACAAAUUUAUUGGAUAAAACAUGACGUGGAGAUAGACAGGGUGCCAGUGACAAACACCCCAAUGUAGGUAAGGAAGGCACUGAACUACACACUCACCAACAAACACUGCAAUGUGGGUAGUAAGAAAGGCAGUGAGCUACAAACUCACCAACAAACACUGCAAUGUAGGGAAGAAAGGCAGUGAGCUACAAACUCACCAACAAACACCGCAAUGUAGGUAAGAAAGGCAGUGAGCUACACACUCACCAACAAACACCACAAUGUAGGUGAGGAUGGCAGUGAACUACACAGUUACCAGUGGUUAAAAUAACAAGUAUUAGGUAUAUGUUAUCAAAGUAAAGAUUUACAAUGAGCACAUAGACAUGGAAGACACUUAUACCCUAAAAAAAUGGAUUGAAGACAAAAUAAAUCACACCUCACACAAGCCCCCACCGGCAGCGAGCAGCCCACAUGGCCACCUGCAGACGUGGCCCUGCAGAAACUGCAUGCCCUGGCCCCCUUCCUCGCUGUGGCCAAUGCAAAGGCACAGCUGGCCCCCGAGGGUCCGCGGCAGGGCUGGCAGGGGGACCGCCUACCAGAGAGCUCCAGGCAGGCAGCUGUGGGGCAGAGGUCCCCACCUCAGGAAGAGCUGCUACAACUGGGCCAGCAAAGACAACCACCCAAACACACAUGCCACACACAUGCAGGCACACACACACCCA
rnacentral:lncRNA from 1 species